AUGGAUCUCAAAUGGGAAUUUAUGAUCAAGAAAUAUGCCGAAGGGUCCGUGAAGCACAAUGCAAGGCUAGUGGCCAAAGAGUACGUGCAAGAGAAAAGUGUGCACUUCGAAGAAGCGUUCGUUCCCGUUGAAAGGAUGGAAUCGGUGAGACUACUCAUCGCUCUCGCGGUUCAGGAAUCAUGGAAGAUACAUCACUUGGAUGUAAAAUCCGCGUUUUUAAAUAGCGAGUUAGAAGGAGAUGUGUAUGUGAAUCAGUCACCGGAAUUCAUCAAAGAGGUAGAGGAACACAAGGUACUGAAGCUACACAAAGUCUUGUACGGGCUACGACAAAGCUCUCGGGCAUGGAACAUCAAACUUGAUCAGACGAUGAUUUCUCUUGGAUUUGAGAAAGCCCCACUAGAGCAUGCAAUGUACAAGAGAGGUGAAGGAAGGGAUCGUCUACUAGUUGGCAUCUACGUCGACGACCUAUUGAUUACUGGAGCAGAUGAAGAGGUGAUUGCAAAGUUCAAACUACAGAUGAAGGAGCUUUACAAGAUGGAUGAUCUAGGCCUUUUGAGUUGCAACCUCGGGACAGAGGUACAUCAGAAGCUGGAGGGGAUCACACUAUGCCAGGAGGCAUAUGCAAGGAAGGUACUUGAAAGCCGUGGCAUGAAAGAUUGCAAUCACAUUGUCGCUUCAAUGAAACCUCGUCUUGAGCUGAGCAAGAAAGAGAUAGUGAAACUACUCAGGUAUAGUGGUAGUGACAAGGAAGGAAUUGUCGACGAUCGUAAGAGUAAUUCGAGAGUGGCAUAUUUCCUUGGUGGAAGCAUAGUAAGCUGGCUAUCACAAAGACAGAAAGUGGUGGCAUUGACUUCAAGUGAAGCAGAGUAUCAAGGUGUGUGGCUAGGGAGGCUACACAGUGAUCUCAUGGAUCGAGAUCCGGAACAAGUGGUGCUCAACAUUGAUAGUGAGUUUAUAACUUUUCUAUGCGAGGAUCCAGUGCAGCAUGACAGGAGCAGGCACAUUGAUACGAUGUAUCAUUACAUAAAGAAUUGCGCCGAAGAAGGUAAGAUGAAGAUCAACUAUAUUCGCACCGAUGAUCAGCUGGCGGACAUCCUGACCAAGGCUUUGGAUCGAGAGGAGUUCUUGGAUACGCAAAGAAGGAUCGACGUCGAAGCCGUGACAUGA
rnacentral:rRNA from 1 species